rnacentral:rRNA from 1 species
GACGAACGCUGGCGGCGUGCUUAACACAUGCGAGUCGUACGGUAAGGCCCUUUCGGGGGUACACGAGUGGCGAACGGGUGAGUAACACGUGAGUAACCUGCCCGCAACUUUGGGAUAACGCUAGGAAACUGGUGCUAAUACUGGAUAUGUGCCCCUGCUGCAUGGUGGGGGUUGGAAAGCUCCGGCGGUUGUGGAUGGACUCGCGGCCUAUCAGCUUGUUGGUGGGGUAGUGGCCUACCAAGGCGGCGACGGGUAGCCGGCCUGAGAGGGUGACCGGCCACAUUGGGACUGAGAUACGGCCCAGACUCCUACGGGAGGCAGCAGUGGGGAAUAUUGCACAAUGGGCGCAAGCCUGAUGCAGCAACGCCGCGUGCGGGAUGACGGCCUUCGGGUUGGAAACCGCUUUCAGCAGGGACGAAGCUUUUUGUGACGGUACCUGCAGAAGAAGCACCGGCUAACUACGUG